AGAGUACUAGCCUAUAUGAACUCAUCCGUUCAUCUCUCCAUUUAAAAACAAAAACAAUGGUGCUUCCAUCCAAGCUGGUAGCAGUGGCCACCGAAGGAUUGAAGCCAUCUCCAUUUUCUCGCAAUUUGUUGUUCUAUGCCCCAGAGAAGCUCACAGCAGUACUGCCCAUUGGAUGUUGUUCACUUCAGCCAUACGGUACUAGUACCACGAGACAACCAGCUACAGCAACCACUCGAGAUUUGCAGCAAAUAGGAUGAGCCCCGGUGAAUGUCAGCCAUGCCAUCGAUGGUUUCGAACUCUCUAGUCAGUGUGACACCGUAUUUGUGAAAUAACAACUCCUGAUACCUCCUAAG
rnacentral:lncRNA from 1 species